rfam:Danio rerio chromosome 7, GRCz11 reference primary assembly.
CCAACGGCUCUUUUAAGAGCCACCCACGAUGUCUCAAAAGAGUUAG